rnacentral:rRNA from 1 species
UACGAAGGGGGCUAGCGUUGCUCGGAAUCACUGGGCGUAAAGGGUGCGUAGGCGGGUCUUUAGGUCAGGGGUGAAAUCCUGGAGCUCAACUCCAGAACUGCCUUUGAUACUGAAGAUCUUGAGUUCGGGAGAGGUGAGUGGAACUGCGAGUGUAGAGGUGAAAUUCGUAGAUAUGCGCAAGAACACCAGUGGCGAAGGCGGCUCACUGGCCCGAUACUGACGCUGAGGCACGAAAGCGUGGGGAGCAAACAGG